GCCCCUCUCACCCUUCUGCUUAUGCUCCUCUUUGCCGCUGAAAUGGGACCGAUAAUGCUUGGAGAGGCAAGGGAAUGCAGGUCAAACAGCAAGCGUUAUAGUGGGCCGUGUUUCAACAAUAACAACAAUAGAAACCACAAUUGUGAUUUUAUUUGCAAGAAGUGUGAGAGCUUCGAAGCCGGACAUUGCUCCAGUCGUACUUGUGUCUGUACCAGAAGAUGUUGAUUUUUCUUGUAUCCAAUAUGCAUGCUCAUCAUUUUUCAAAAUUGUAUCAUUAAUGAUGAAGUCCUCUUGGAAGUUCAGGUCUAGUUUGUUAGGAGCAGGACUCUCCAUGUCCCUUAAUUGAUAUGUGGAUGUAAUAAAUAAGUUGCAUGGACGUACGUUGUGUUUCUGAAGUUUGAUAUGGUAUAUGUGUGUGGAUGUUAUUAAUAAAAGUUGCAUGCUUCUGUUCCUUUAA